rnacentral:rRNA from 1 species
CCUACGGGAGACAGCAGUGAGGAAUAUUGGUCAAUGGACGCAAGUCUGAACCAGCCAUGCCGCGUGCAGGAAGACGGCUCUAUGAGUUGUAAACUGCUUUUGUACGAGGGUAAACGCAGAUACGCGUAUCUUUCUGAAAGUAUCGUACGAAUAAGGAUCGGCUAACUCCGUGCCAGCAGCCGCGGUAAUACGGAGGAUUCAAGCGUUAUCCGGAUUUAUUGGGUUUAAAGGGUGCGUAGGCGGUCGGAUAAGUUAGAUGUGAAAUUCUGAGGCUCAACUUCGGAAUUGCCUCUGAUACUGGUCGGCUAGAGAGUAGUUGCGGUAGGCGGAAUGUAUGGUGUAGCGGGGAAAUGCUUAGAGAUCAUAAAGAAAACCGAUUGCGAAGGCAGCUUACCAAGCUACUACUGACGUUGAGGCACGAAAGCGUGGGGAGCAAACAGGAUUAGAUACCCGGGUAGUC